AGUGGAUGGGGAGCAACCUAGUUGUGCGUGUGUAAAGGUAGUGCCAAGAAAAGCGGUGAUCAUGAUGAAAAUCAAUUCCCGGUACCCGAAACCGACACAGGUGGGCAAGUAGAGAAUACUAAGGGGCGCGAGGUAACUCUCUCCAAGGAACUCGGCAAAAUGACCCCGUAACUUAGGGAGAAGGGGUGCCACCGAGAGGUGGUCGCAGUGAAGAGGCCCAGGCGACUGUUUAGCAAAAACAUAGGUCUCUGCAAACUCGAAAGAGGAGGUAUAGGGGCUGACGCCUGCCCAGUGCCGGAAGGUUAAAGAAGUUGGUCAGUCUUAGGAUAAAGCUAGCGACUGAAGCCCCGGUGAACGGCGGCCGUAACUAUAACGGUCCUAAGGUAGCGAAAUUCCUUGUCGGGUAAGUUCCGACCCGCACGAAAGGCGUAACGAUCUGGGCGCUGUCUCGGAGAGAGGCUCGGCGAAAUAGGAUUGUCUGUGAAGAUACGGACUACCUGCAUUUGGACAGAAAGACCCUAUGAAGCUUUACUAUAGCUUGGAAUUGUGUUCGGGCUUCCUGUGCGCAGGAUAGGUGGGAGGCGAAGAAGGUAUUCUUGUGGGGAUACUGGAGCCAACGGUGAGAUACCACUCUCAGGAGGCUAGAAUUCUAACUUAAUUAAGGACAGUUUCAGGUGGGUAGUUUGACUGGGGCGGUCGCCUCCAAAAAGGUAACGGAGGCGUACAAAGGUUCCCUCAGACUGGUUGGAAAUCAGUCGCAGAGUGCAAAGGCAGAAGGGAGCUUGACUGCGAGAAGUACAGUUCGAGCAGGGUGGAAACACGGUCUUAGUGAUCCGACGGUGCUGUGUGGAAGGGCCGUCGCUCAACGGAUAAAAGUUACUCUAGGAUAACAGGCUGAUCUCCCCCAAGAGUUCACAUCGACGGGGAGGUUUGGCACCUCGAUGUCGGCUCAUCGCAACCUGGGGCGGUAGUACGUCCCAAGGGUUGGGCUGUUCGCCCAUUAAAGCGGUACGUGAGCUGGGUUCAGAACGUCGUGAGACAGUUCGGUCCAUAUCCGAUGUAGGCGUGAGAAUAUUGAGAGGAGCCUUCCUUAGUACGAGAGGACCGGGAAGGACGCACCGCUGGUGUACCUGUUAUGAUGCCAAUUGUAAACGCAGGGUAGCCAAGUGCGGAGAGGAUAACCGCUGAAAGCAUCUAAGUGGGAAGCCCACCUCAAGAUGAGUAUUCUGGUGUAAGGUCACGGGAAGACGACCCGUAAAUAGGCACGAGGUGGAAGUGCAGAGAUGUAUGAAGCCGAAGUGUACUAAUAGACCGUCGGCUUGACC
rnacentral:rRNA from 1 species